GCCAGUCAAAGCUUAGUAUGUAUUGACUGGCUAUUUAACUGGCCAUAAUAUAUUUAAGAAUUUUAUUAUAAAUAUGAAAUACUUCCAAAAGGCCUAUCUUAUAUAUUCCUUCAUUUUUUAGAUGUUCAACACAGUGGUAUAAUUGAUAUUUCUGAAUCAGAAAGCUUUGGAGAACAAAGUGAAUGUUCAUUCACAUCAAAUUCUAUAUAGUCUGGAGGAGGACACAAAAAUGCAGAUAUAUGGAAACAUUAUAUUUACCAAUCAUUGACAGAAACUGCUAGAUAAAAAAACUGCUUCAGCUUUAAUUAAUCAUAACAAACGAUUCCAUCAAAAGACCUAUAAUAAUAAAUUUAUUGGGUCAUAUUUUAAUAAUGAUUCAAAUAAUAAUCAUAUGUACAACAAUAAUGAUAUCAAACAUUAUUUAUUAAAAUUUUUGAUCAAAUCUAAUAUCCCAUUUAAAAUUCUUGCAACAAAUGAAUUUAAAUGUUUUGUUAAUGCAUUAAAUCCUAACAUUAAAAUAUGUUCAAUUCCUACAAUGAAGCAAUACAUAAAUGAAUCUGUUGAUAAUGAAUUCAAAAAAAUUAAAUUAAUGAUAAGCUAUUCAAAUACUCAAAUAAAUUUUACAAUAGAUAUUUGGUAAAGUACAACAAAUGUCCCAUUCUUAGGGUUAACCUGCCAUUACAUUGAUGAUGAAUGGGUACUAAAAUCUAUAUUAUUAGACAUUGUUCCAUUUACAAAUUCCCAUUUUGGGGAAAACAUUUUAUAGAAUCAUUAAUAAUUAUAACAUAGAUAUUAAGUCAGCAGCUAUUACAUGUGACAAUGCCACAUCAAACACUAACUUUAUAAAUACCCUCAAUUAAACCCAGAUCAAAAAUUGCACAUAUUCGUUGUUUUGCACUGUUUUAAAUCUUGUUGUUCAAGAAAUAAUAAAACAAAUAGAUGAACAAUUAAUGAAAUUAAGACACAUUAUAAGAAGCAUCCGAAAUUCUUUUAAGAAAAUUACUAUGAUAUAAGAAUUUUGUAAUUCUCAAAAUCCAUCUAUUAAAUAUAAUAUUAAAAUUAGAUACACCUAUCAGGUGAAAUAGCUCAUAUUUUAUGAUUGAAAAUAACAAUGAAAAAAGCCAUUCAUGUUGUUAUUAAUAGUUAUGAUGUAUCUAUUAUUGAAGAGAAACAACUAAGUGAAGAUGAAUGGGUCACGUCAGAAAGAAUACAUGCAAACUUGAAAACAUUUUAUGAUUUUACUGUUGCUAUAUCAGGGGACUCCUUUUCUACCCUUAAUUUGGUCAUUCCUUUUUAUAUUUCAUUAAUUGAGCACCCAAGUCUCUCUUAUAAACGCAAUUUAUGCUCAACAAAAAAUUAUAUCUUAUUAUAAUUUAACAAAUUUAGAAACCCUUAUAUCUGCUCUAUUAGAUCCUAGACUUAAAUUAGAGUUUUUUGAAUGCCUACCUCCUUCUUAUAAUAUCAACAUUUCAAUUAUAUUAAAUAAUUUUAAUAAAAUGUUUGAUAAUUAUAAAGUAAAAUAUGAUGUAUCAGUCAGUCAACCUUUAAUACAAUCAAAUAUGGAUGUAAUUUUUAAACAGAAUGCCGUACCAAUUUCCGAAGUUGAAACUUAUUUAAAAGAAGCGAGAAUCACAUCAAAUAAAUCCCACUAGAAUGGUGGAAACUACAUGGAGAUCGUUUUCCCGUUUUAUCUAAAAUGGCAGAGACAUAUUAUCUAUACCAGGAUCUUCUACCCCAUGUGAGCGGCUCUUUUCUGUUGGAGCGCAUCAUUAAAAGAGGAUACAAUCCUAAAAACUUUGUGUUUAAAAAAUUGGUUGUUAUCAGAUUUUUCUUAAUAUAUUGAUUUUUCUGCAUUAUAUAUU